AAACGAUUGAAGUCAGUCGUGCCUGCCUAGAUUCAGCCUUCUGGUGUAUUUCUAGGUCGGCAGGUCAGCAUCAGUUUGGGGGGGUUAACAAGGGAGCUGGGAAUGUGGCAACCUCGGUUGUGUUAUAGCC
rnacentral:rRNA from 1 species